rnacentral:rRNA from 1 species
GGGUUGUGAGGUUAAGCGACUAAGCGUACACGGUGGAUGCCCUGGCAGUCAGAGGCGAUGAAGGACGUGCUAAUCUGCGAUAAGCGCCGGUAAGGUGAUAUGAACCGUUAUAACCGGCGAUUUCCGAAUGGGGAAACCCAGUGUGACUCGUCACACUAUCAUUAACUGAAUCCAUAGGUUAAUGAGGCGAACCGGGGGAACUGAAACAUCUAAGUACCCCGAGGAAAAGAAAUCAACCGAGAUUCCCCCAGUAGCGGCGAGCGAACGGGGAGGAGCCCAGAGCCUGAAUCAGCAUGUGUGUUAGUGGAAGCGUCUGGAAAGGCGCGCGAUACAGGGUGACAGCCCCGUACACAAAAGCGCAUGUGCUGUGAGCUCGAUGAGUAGGGCGGGACACGUCGU